rnacentral:rRNA from 1 species
CUAACACAUGCAAGUCGAGCGGUAACAGGUGUAGCGAUACAUGCUGACGAGCGGCGAACGGGUGAGUAAUGCUUUGGAAUCUUCCCAGUAGUGGGGAAUAACCAGUCGAAAGAUUGGCUAAUACCGCAUACGUCUGUAAAGGGAAAGCGGGGGCUCGUAAGACCUCGCGCUAUUGGAUGAGCCAAAGUCGGAUUAGCUAGUUGGUGGGGUAAUGGCCUACCAAGGCGACAAUCCGUAGCUGGUCUGAGAGGACGACCAGCCACACCGGAACUGAGACACGGUCCGGACUCCUACGGGAGGCAGCAGUGGGGAAUAUUGGACAAUGGGGGAAACCCUGAUCCAGCGACGCCGCGUGUGUGAAGAAGGCCUGCGGGUUGUAAAGCACUUUUAGUGGGGACAAAAAGCUACGGAUUAAUACUCUGUGGUCUUGAUUUAACCCAAAGAAAAAGCACCGGCUAACUCUGUGCCAGCAGCCGCGGUAAU